AUCGGACUGACCUCAGGGCAGCUGAGAGGAGAUGGCGUAAAUCUAAAGAUCCAGCAGAUCUAGAACAAGCUGCUGGAUGACAAUCAGUCAGGCUUCAAAAGUGGACACUCCACCGAGACUGCCCUGCUGUCUGUCACUGAGUCGCUGAGACAGGCGAAAGCUUAAUCCAGAUCAUCCGUCCUGAUUCUGCUGGACCUUUCUGCAGCCUUUGACACAGUCAACCAUCAGAUCUUACUCUCUACCCUCUCCUCGCUGGGCAUCACAGGAACUGUGCUUGACUGGUUUAAUUCCAAUCUCUCAGCCCAACGACACCACAGUGACUGCUCGAAUUUCUGCCUGCCUGGCAGACAUCUCGGCCUGGAUGAAGGAGCACC